UCCAAGAAACUGUGGACCUCAGGGGAUUUCUGUCUGGUCUCCAAGAGCAAGUGCUCCUGCCUGUGGUUGAACUGGGCACCUUCCUUUCCUUUGAGCCUGAGGAACCUGACCAGCCAGAUGGCACAGAUUUGGGCAUUUUUAUGGGCAUUUUGCCUUUCCUGUGAGUCUGAGGUUUCCUGCAAUUGCUGUAUAACAGAUUACCCCAAACUUUGUGGCUUAACAGCAAAACAGUUUGCUCACAAGUCUGCCAGCCCAGAACUUAAACACAACACAGCGGGUGCCUGCUCUCUGGCUGGGUGGCACAGUCACGAUGAUGUCGUCAGUUGUCUCAGCCAGUUUGGCUCUUUAGUCUGGCAGUGGCUGGGUCAACUCCAACAGGGCCACAAGUCUGAGUUCCUCAGUUCUCCUCCACGCAGUCUUAGGGCCCCUCCCCCCACGUGACCUCCACGUGGCCCUUCCAUGUGGCCUCUCCACGUGGCCUGACUUGCUACAUGGUAGCUCAGGGCUCCCCAAAGUGCAAAUGCAGAAUCCAUGGAGUGUGCCUCCAGUACUGCCCAGAGCUGGUACAACAUUCCCUUCGUCACGCUCUAUUCUUGUAAGCAGCCCAGAUCCAAGGACGAGAACCUUGGCUCCUAGGAGGUGUGGGCUUCGUGUGCCACCUCUGUAACCUGCUCCACAUGUGCUGUCCUUCCAGGUGGCACCGAUUCUUCCAGGGACGGAGGUUGGUCCUGCCCUCAGCACCCUUCAGAGCGGCUGGCUCCUGGGAGUUGCUUAACCUGCUUCUGUCUUAUCGAGAAAGGACAGUUGGAACCACAGAGAUAAAGCAAUGCACUCAGAGAGGUUUACACAGCGCCCUGUCCUAGGCCACACACCCGGCCUGAGCCUCUGUGAACAAGGUGGAUUUAAUCCUCGCGAUCUCUACGGAGUCCCCGCCCCAACAACACCAAGGCCUGCUUGGCUGACUGGUGCCGCUGAGCAGCCCAGAAAGAAUGUGACCCAGGAGGGUCCUCACGCAGGCACCAGACGGGAGCUUUGGGAGGCUGUCAGCACAGAAAACAACUUGCCUGACGAGAUAGCAGAAAACUGCAAAAGGCCGCGGCCCCAGAGGCCUGAACCACUGCUUAGCCAUCUGCAGCGUGAUGGAUGAUAAGCAUCUAUGUGCACCAGUGAGUUGAAAGAAAACUGUAACUGUUCCGGGAAACAGCAACCGAAGUCACAAAUCAUAAAUAAUAAAAGAUAGAAAAAUCC